UCAUGUACGAAACUAGCGGUU
rnacentral:piRNA from 1 species